UACGUAGGUGGCAAGCGUUGUCCGGAUUUACUGGGCGUAAAGCGUGCGCAGGCGGUUUUGUAAGACAGAGGUGAAAUCCCCGGGCUCAACCUGGGAACUGCCCUUGUGACUGCAAGGCUAGAGUACGGCAGAGGAGGGUGGAAUUCCGCGUGUAGCAGUGAAAUGCGUAGAUAUGCGGAGGAACACCGAUGGCGAAGGCAACCCCCUGGGCCUGUACUGACGCUCAUGCACGAAAGCGUGGGGAGCAAACAGG
rnacentral:rRNA from 1 species